rnacentral:rRNA from 1 species
GACGAACGCUGGCGGCGUGCUUAACACAUGCAAGUCGAACGGAAAGGCCCUGCUUUUGUGGGGUGCUCGAGUGGCGAACGGGUGAGUAACACGUGAGUAACCUGCCCUUGACUUUGGGAUAACUUCAGGAAACUGGGGCUAAUACCGGAUAGGAGCUCCUGCUGCAUGGUGGGGGUUGGAAAGUUUCGGCGGUUGGGGAUGGACUCGCGGCUUAUCAGCUUGUUGGUGGGGUAGUGGCUUACCAAGGCUUUGACGGGUAGCCGGCCUGAGAGGGUGACCGGCCACAUUGGGACUGAGAUACGGCCCAGACUCCUACGGGAGGCAGCAGUGGGGAAUAUUGCACAAUGGGCGGAAGCCUGAUGCAGCAACGCGGCGUGCGGGAUGACGGCCUUCGGGUUGUAAACCGCUUUCGCCUGUGACGAAGCGUGAGUGACGGUAAUGGGUAAAGAAGCACCGGCUAACUACAU